AUGGAGCUGAUAAUCUGCUGACAGUAAAUCUGUUUAUUGACCUAAUAUGGGAACAUCUCUGCUGCUAUAAAUCGUGCCUCCUAUAAAUCAUGUUUUAUCCUUAUCAUCCAGCUAAGAAAAGGCUGGAAGAUAAGGACAGGAGAGGUUGUAAUCAGAAUACCUUGAUCUUCUCUAAUUCUUCCAGUUAGGUUGUACCGCAUACUUAUAUUCUGACGUAGCACAAGGAGAGAUUUCCUGAAGCACAGAAAGAAUGGGCUGUAUGUUUAUCUGUUCAGAAAAUAUUCCCCACCCUCAAAGGCAAAAAAACGUCUGAUGGUAUUCACAUAUUUCUUCCCCUUUUCUUUCUAAUAUACUGUAGGUUUUCAACCAUCAUCCUUUGAGAAUGUUUUAAGCAUGUCAGGUUAUAUUCCCAGUUCUACGCAUGUCCCAGAGAGAUUUAUUUCUACAGAAAUGGUCAGUAGCAGCACACCACCAGCCUCCACGGUAAAAACAAUCACCACCUGGAAGACACCUGACUCUCAGAGAAGUGCUUCUGUACAACCUGUGGUUACUGGAAACAUUGCUCAUGCUCUAGGCACCAUCAGUGGUCACCUUGCUGAUGUGGCAAACAGUUCUUUGGUACAUGCUGUAAAGGUUGCAUCUUCAAGGAGCCAUGCUGUGUCACCUGAGAAGAAAACCAGGGCACAAGCUGAGGCCUUCAGCUAUGUAGAGAGCAGCAGGAAGACUUCCCCUGGCAGCAGAGCAAGUAUAAGCCAAGGACAUUCUUUGCCAAACAAAGCAUUCAGAGGUGGAAAUGCUCAAAGAGUUCUGCACCUAUUAGCUAAGCAUCAAGGGAGUAAUUUACCUUUUACCCUUGUGGAAGUCACUGUCCCACCAAAAAUGCUUCCUGAAGAAUUGAGUGAAACCAUGAUUCCUAAAGCAGUGACCUGUUCUGAUUUACCCUGUUUUCCUGGCGUCCCCUGUGAGCCAAGGCAGGAUGGAAGUGUCAAGUGUGGUCGUUGUCCUUAUGGUUAUUAUGGAGAUGGCUUCACUUGCAGAGCAAGAUGUAGACAACCCUGUGGAAAAAAUAUGGAGUGUGUGGCACCCAAUAUUUGUAAAUGCAAGCCUGGUUAUGCUGGUCAUAACUGUCAGGCUGGUGAGUAUGGCAUGUUAAUUUUGCCUGUGGUAACUCACAUGCACAAAUUAAUGAUUUGCAGAGUACCAUUGGUUUUUUUUUACAGCUCUAUGCAGACCUGA
rnacentral:lncRNA from 1 species